UCUAUUUUUUUCAGGCUAAAACUACCCAAGACAUUGGCUGUCAGACUGAUUUAGCUGCAAGAAUGCACUUGUCCAGGCUGUCGUGAAGCCUUACCGGUGUAGCAAAGGUGAAUUAUUUUUAAUAAUCUUCUAUGUAAACAUUUAAUUACCUUCUAGUUUUGAUUUGUUUUACAGAUUAUUGUUACACGUGAUUUUAUGCUCUUUUAAACAUUUAUAAAUGUGCUGCUUCUUUGUUUUUUACAUAGCCACCCAGAAUAGAGCUCACAGCCACUGUGUGUCUUGUGACACAGGGACCAUGACGGAAAUUCAUCUUCCAGAAAGUCCCAGAGCUGCAUCCACACCCCUGAAAAGACCAAGAUGUGAGGUGUCUGCUGUUGAUUCCAGCUUCCACCUCAGUGACAGUGCAAGCUCAGUGAACUGUUCAAGGAGGCUACUGAUUCUGCCCCUGACACUUGGUGGUGACGUGUGAGCUGAUUCACCUGCCUGGCUGAUCACCUGAUAACUCCUGUCAUCUGGUUGUGACAGCAUGAGGAUGUCCUCACACACCUGUAACCUAUCAGCUCAUCUGGCAGAAUAGAGAGAGAAGAGACAACACUACAUCUCCUGUUCCUGGAAAGCCUUCAGCCAUCCUUCGAUGACUGAGAACCUCCAUCAGCUCUGUCUCAGGCAGAUUCUUCUGGAAGCUCCUGAUCCUGACGACCCCACCAGAGGAGACCAGCUGCAGACACCAGAGGAUCACCUACGACCAAGAGAGCAGCUGGUAUCAGUAAAUAAAUAAUGAAAUCAGGGCAGCUUUAGUGGGCUGUUUGGGAUUGUGUAGCAUAAAUGAACACACUGCAGAAUAAUUUUCUCAUGGGGUAUUUUCAUAACUUUCUAUGCAGCAAACUGUAACUUGAGCCCAGGGCUCCUGGAGAGCUGCUAUCCAGCACGUUUCAGUGGUUUUUCUGGCUUCAACAUGUUAGAUUAGCUGUUAAGCAGCUCAGCUAUUUGCUGCUGAUUAAAACCAGGUGUGUUGAAGCAGAUAAACCUCUUAAACAUGCUGAAUACUAGCUCUCUUGGCCCAUGGAGCCAAACCCUGCAGCUAAUCUAAUGCUAUGGCUCACAGCUACUUA